GCAGAGCGCCGCUGGGCUGCCGGGUCUCCUGCCUCCUCCUGCUCCUAGGGCCUCCUGCAUGAGGGAGCGGUAGAGACCCGGACCCGCUCCGUGCUCUGCCGCCUCGCUGCGCUUCGCCCGGGCCAGGCUCUGCCAGGCCUCGCGGUGAGCCAUGAUCCGCCUCGGGGCUCCCCAGUCGCUGGUGCUGCUGACGCUGCUCAUCGCCGCGGUCCUACGGUGUCAGGGCCAGGAUGCCCAGGAGGCUGGCAGCUGUCUGCAGAAUGGGCAGAGGUAUAAAGAUAAGGAUGUAUGGAAGCCCUCAUCUUGCCGCAUCUGUGUGUGUGACACUGGGAAUGUCCUCUGCGAUGACAUUAUCUGUGAAGACCCAGACUGCCUCAACCCCGAGAUCCCCUUCGGAGAGUGCUGUCCCAUCUGCCCAGCUGACCUCGCCACUGCCAGUGGUCGUAAUUUAUUUAUUUAUUAUUCAACAUAAAUAAAUUACUCGGAGACACAGCAAAUGCCUUCCGUGGGUUUUGGCCUUCUCUUUGAAGCGGAGAAGCUGCUAAUCAAUCUAUUUGAUCCCACCAGCAGGGGCACAAAGGCAAGGCCACUUCUCGGUUCCACCAGGUUGAAGGCUGGUGAGCCUGAAUCACUACAGAGACCCUCCCUCACCUAACACCCCAGGAGGAUGCGUACAGAAACACAAUUAUGCUUCCACAAAAGUUUUCCCUCCUGAGUCAAGUCGGCUAAUUAAUUUAAGAAAAGCCAAAGGGGUAGCUGGGCUCUGGGAGUUGAAAGGAUGAUCGUGCCCCUGCAAGCUGCUGUGGUUACCCACUCCCAGCUAGAACCAGUGCUAACAAAGAAGAGUACAGCUGACCCCUUCCCAGCACCCACGCAAGUGUCCCAUCUCCCUACGGAGAGCGUGGGGGAUGCCCGCACAGGCUCAUGGUUCCCUUCCUACUCCUAUGGAGAAGAGGGCUGAACUGGAAUCGAGAAGUCGCCUUUCCUGCAUGCUUCCCCCACACUGUUGCCUGGUAUGGCGCAGAUUCUCAGAGGGAGGCGCCCAUACCAGUGCGGUGUGAGGACCCAGUGGAGCUUGCUGCUGUGGUGGGGGAGGGGCGUAUGGGUCUGGGAUGGCCCUGGCUGCAAUGCUCUUUGUAACACCUGUGUCCCGCUCUCUUUUGUGCUUACGUCAAGGAGACUCCACGCUAAUGAAAAUUAGGGCCAAAGGGGCAGAAAGGAGAACCUGGAGAUAUCAGAGAUAUCAUAGGACCCAGAGGACCUCCUGGCCCUCAGGGACCUGCAGGUGAACAAGGACCCAGAGGUGAUCGUGGUGACAAGGGAGAAAAGGGUGCGCCUGGACCCCGUGGCAGAGAUGGAGAACCUGGUACCCCUGGAAAUCCUGGCCCCGCUGGCCCUCCAGGUCCCCCUGGUCCCCCUGGCCUUAGUGCAGGAAACUUCGCGGCUCAGAUGGCUGGAGGGUAUGACGAGAAGGCUGGUGGUGCCCAGAUGGGAGUCAUGCAAGGGCCCAUGGGCCCCAUGGGACCCCGUGGACCCCCAGGCCCUGCCGGUGCCCCCGGCCCUCAAGGAUUUCAAGGCAAUCCUGGUGAACCUGGCGAGCCUGGUGUCUCUGGUCCCAUGGGUCCCCGAGGUCCUCCUGGCCCUGCUGGAAAACCUGGUGACGACGGUGAAGCUGGGAAGCCCGGAAAGUCUGGGGAAAGAGGCCUCCCUGGCCCUCAGGGUGCUCGUGGAUUCCCAGGAACCCCGGGUCUCCCCGGUGUCAAGGGUCACAGAGGUUACCCAGGCCUCGACGGUGCUAAGGGGGAAGCUGGUGCUCCGGGUGUGAAGGGUGAGAGUGGUUCCCCUGGUGAGAACGGAUCCCCGGGCCCAAUGGGUCCCCGUGGCCUGCCUGGUGAGAGAGGACGGACUGGCCCUGCUGGUGCUGCUGGUGCUCGGGGUAACGAUGGCCAGCCAGGCCCCGCUGGACCUCCGGGUCCUGUGGGUCCCGCAGGUGGUCCUGGCUUCCCUGGUGCUCCUGGUGCCAAGGGCGAAGCUGGUCCCACUGGUGCUCGCGGUCCUGAAGGUGCUCAAGGUUCUCGUGGCGAGCCUGGCAAUCCUGGGUCCCCUGGGCCUGCAGGUGCUUCUGGUAACCCAGGGACUGAUGGUAUUCCUGGAGCCAAAGGAUCCGCUGGUGCUCCUGGAAUUGCUGGUGCCCCUGGCUUCCCUGGGCCCCGUGGCCCUCCCGGUCCUCAAGGUGCAACUGGUCCCCUUGGCCCCAAAGGUCAGGCGGGUGAACCUGGCAUUGCUGGCUUUAAAGGUGAUCAAGGCCCCAAGGGAGAGACUGGACCUGCUGGGCCCCAAGGAGCCCCUGGCCCCGCUGGUGAAGAAGGCAAACGAGGUGCUCGAGGAGAGCCGGGUGGUGCUGGACCAAUCGGACCCCCUGGAGAGAGAGGUGCUCCUGGCAACCGUGGAUUCCCAGGUCAAGAUGGUCUGGCAGGUCCCAAGGGUGCCCCUGGAGAGCGAGGGCCCAGUGGCUUGACUGGUCCCAAGGGAGCCAACGGUGACCCGGGUCGUCCUGGAGAACCUGGUCUUCCUGGAGCCAGGGGUCUUACCGGUCGCCCUGGUGACGCUGGUCCUCAAGGCAAAGUUGGUCCUUCUGGAGCCCCUGGUGAAGACGGUCGCCCUGGACCUCCUGGUCCUCAGGGAGCUCGUGGGCAGCCUGGCGUCAUGGGUUUCCCUGGCCCCAAAGGUGCCAACGGCGAGCCUGGCAAAGCUGGUGAGAAGGGUCUGGCUGGCGCUCCUGGUCUGAGAGGUCUUCCUGGAAAAGACGGUGAGACGGGAGCCGCAGGACCCCCCGGCCCCAGUGGACCUGCUGGUGAACGAGGCGAGCAGGGCGCUCCUGGACCAUCAGGGUUCCAGGGACUUCCUGGCCCUCCCGGUCCCCCAGGUGAAGGUGGAAAGCAAGGUGACCAGGGUAUUCCUGGUGAAGCUGGAGCUCCUGGCCUUGUGGGUCCUCGGGGCGAGCGAGGUUUCCCAGGUGAACGUGGCUCUCCUGGUGCUCAGGGCCUUCAGGGUCCCCGAGGCCUCCCUGGCACUCCUGGUACUGAUGGUCCCAAAGGUGCAGCUGGCCCAGAUGGCCCCCCUGGGGCUCAGGGGCCUCCAGGUCUACAGGGAAUGCCUGGUGAGAGAGGAGCCGCUGGCAUUGCUGGGCCCAAGGGAGACAGAGGCGAUGUUGGCGAGAAAGGCCCAGAGGGAGCUCCUGGGAAGGAUGGCGGCCGAGGUCUGACUGGGCCCAUCGGACCCCCAGGCCCAGCAGGGGCCAACGGCGAGAAGGGAGAAGUCGGACCUCCUGGCCCGUCAGGAAGUACCGGAGCUCGAGGUGCCCCGGGUGAACGCGGAGAGACCGGGCCACCUGGACCUGCUGGAUUCGCUGGCCCUCCUGGUGCUGAUGGCCAGCCUGGUGCCAAGGGUGAUCAAGGAGAAGCCGGACAGAAAGGAGAUGCUGGUGCCCCCGGCCCACAAGGCCCCUCGGGAGCCCCUGGGCCACAGGGUCCUACUGGAGUGACUGGUCCUAAGGGAGCCCGAGGUGCCCAAGGUCCCCCGGGAGCCACCGGAUUCCCUGGAGCUGCUGGCCGAGUUGGACCCCCAGGUGCUAAUGGCAAUCCUGGACCCGCCGGUCCCCCUGGUCCUGCUGGAAAAGAUGGUCCCAAAGGUGUUCGAGGAGACAGUGGCCCCCCUGGCAGAGCUGGUGACCCCGGUCUUCAAGGUCCUGCAGGAGCUCCUGGCGAGAAAGGAGAACCUGGAGAUGAUGGUCCCUCUGGUCUUGAUGGUCCUCCAGGUCCCCAGGGGCUGGCUGGUCAAAGGGGCAUUGUUGGUCUGCCUGGUCAGCGUGGUGAGAGAGGAUUCCCCGGCCUUCCCGGCCCAUCGGGUGAGCCCGGCAAGCAGGGUGCACCUGGCGCGUCUGGAGACAGAGGUCCUCCUGGUCCUGUGGGGCCUCCUGGCCUGACAGGGCCUGCAGGUGAACCUGGACGAGAGGGCAGCCCUGGUGCUGAUGGACCCCCUGGAAGAGAUGGUGCAGCUGGAGUCAAGGGAGAUCGUGGUGAGACUGGAGCACUGGGUGCCCCUGGAGCUCCUGGGCCCCCAGGCUCUCCUGGUCCUGCUGGCCCAACUGGCAAACAAGGAGACAGAGGAGAGGCUGGUGCACAAGGUCCUAUGGGUCCCUCAGGACCUGCUGGAGCCCGUGGGAUUGCAGGCCCUCAAGGCCCCCGAGGUGACAAAGGAGAAUCUGGAGAGCAGGGCGAGAGGGGACUGAAGGGACACCGAGGUUUCACUGGACUGCAGGGUCUGCCUGGCCCUCCGGGUCCUUCUGGAGAUCAGGGUGCUUCUGGCCCUGCUGGUCCUUCUGGCCCUAGAGGUCCACCUGGCCCUGUUGGUCCCUCUGGCAAAGAUGGCUCUAAUGGAAUCCCUGGCCCCAUCGGGCCUCCAGGUCCCCGUGGACGCUCAGGAGAAACAGGCCCUGUUGGUCCCCCUGGAAGUCCCGGUCCUCCUGGCCCUCCAGGUCCUCCUGGUCCUGGCAUCGACAUGUCAGCCUUUGCUGGCUUAGGGCAGAGAGAGAAGGGCCCCGACCCCAUGCAGUACAUGCGGGCCGACGAGGCAGACAGUACCUUGAGACAGCACGACGUGGAGGUGGACGCUACACUCAAGUCACUGAACAACCAGAUUGAGAGCAUCCGCAGCCCCGACGGCUCCCGCAAGAACCCUGCUCGCACUUGCCAAGACCUGAAACUCUGCCACCCCGAGUGGAAGAGCGGAGACUACUGGAUUGAUCCCAACCAGGGCUGCACCUUGGACGCCAUGAAAGUUUUCUGCAACAUGGAGACCGGCGAGACUUGCGUCUACCCCAACCCAGCGACUGUCCCUCGGAAAAACUGGUGGAGCAGCAAGAGCAAGGAAAAGAAACACAUCUGGUUUGGAGAGACCAUGAACGGUGGCUUCCACUUCAGCUAUGGCGAUGGCAACCUGGCUCCCAACACCGCUAACGUCCAGAUGACUUUCCUCCGUCUACUGUCCACUGAGGGCUCCCAGAACAUCACCUACCACUGUAAGAACAGCAUCGCCUACCUGGACGAAGCGGCUGGCAACCUCAAGAAGGCCUUGCUCAUCCAGGGCUCCAAUGAUGUAGAGAUGAGGGCCGAGGGCAACAGCAGGUUCACAUACACUGCCCUGAAGGAUGGCUGCACGAAACACACUGGUAAGUGGGGCAAGACCGUCAUCGAGUACCGAUCACAGAAGACCUCCCGCCUUCCCAUUAUUGACAUCGCACCCAUGGACAUUGGAGGGGCUGAACAGGAAUUUGGUGUGGACAUAGGGCCUGUCUGCUUCUUGUAAAACCCCCGAACCCUGAAACAACACAAUCCAUUGCGAACCCAAAGGACCCAAACACUUUCCAACCGCAGUCACUCCAGGAUCUGCACUGAAUGGCUGACCUGACCUGAUGAUACCCAACCGUCCUCCCCUCACAGCCCGGACUGUGCUCCCCUUUCUAAGAGACCUGAACUGGGCAGACUGCAAAAUAAAAUCUCGGUGUUCUAUUUAUUUAUUGUCUUCCUGUAAGACCUCUGGGUCCAGGCGGAGACAGGAACUAUCUGGUGUGAGUCAGACGCCCCCCGAGUGACUGUUCCCAGCCCAGCCAGAAGACCCCUACAGAUGCUGGGCGCAGGGACUGCGUGUCCUACACAAUGGUGCUAUUCUGUGUCAAACACCUCUGUAUUUUUUAAAACAUCAAUUGAUAUUAAAAACCAAAAAAAAAAAAAUCAUUGGAAAGGA